rnacentral:tmRNA from 1 species
GAUCUUGACGCUGCCCCCCGGCAACCUUACAUUUCAUCUGCUCCCUCGGGGGCUAUGGACAUAAACGGCAGUUUUACUAGCUGGACUGGACUCGGCUGCGAAGCCGACACCUCCACCAAAUAUCCCUUCGUUGGGGGCCUAUGGGGGUGAAACAGGAUCGACAGACUGUGAACGAGCUGAUCUUUGUCCCGGUGAGCCACCACCGUUAUCGGUGCAAAACGUACAGUUGCCAACGACAACCGUGCUCCGGUCGCGCUGGCUGCGUAAGCAGUUCGCAAGACCGAAACUUAAGCCCUUGCGCCUAGCCGCGUAAGGCGGGGUUCGCAGGCACCUGGCAACAGAAGCCUGCACU